rnacentral:rRNA from 2 species
AAAGAUUAAGCCAUGCAUGUCUAAGUAUAAACAAAUUCAUACUGUGAAACUGCGAAUGGCUCAUUAAAUCAGUUAUAGUUUAUUUGAUGGUAUCUUGCUACAUGGAUAACUGUGGUAAUUCUAGAGCUAAUACAUGCUGAAAAGCCCCGACUUCCGGAAGGGGUGUAUUUAUUAGAUAAAAAACCAAUGGGUGAAAGCCCUUUAUGGUGAUUCAUGAUAACUUCUCGAAUCGCAUGGCCUUGCGCCGGCGAUGCUUCAUUCAAAUAUCUGCCCUAUCAACUUUCGAUGGUAGAGUAGUGGUCUACCAUGGUAUC